GUAGGGGUGAUAGAUUCCAUGGCAGAGGGGAUGGUGCAAAUGCCUUUUGGCAAGACUCAGUGGCUUUCUGUCAUCUUUAG
rnacentral:miRNA from 1 species